GCCGACCGGGUGUCCGCGCUAAGUUCGGUAUCAAUAUGGUGACCUCUUGGGAGCAGGGGGCCAUCAGGUUGCCUAAGAAUGGGAGAGCUGGCCCAGGUCAGAAAGGGAGCAGGUCAGAACUCCCGCACUGAUGGCUAGUGGGACUGUGCCUGUGC
ensembl:misc_RNA Metazoa_SRP Metazoan signal recognition particle RNA